GUGAGGCAUCUGCCCUGCCUCUGCCGGGCCCAAGUGGUGCGGGGCUUCGGCCGUGGCUCCAGGCCGCUGGGCAUCUCCGCAGCUAAUUUUCCAGAACAAGUAGUAGCUAAUCUUCCAGUUGAUGUAUCCAUUGGCAUUUAUUAUGGUUGGGCCAGUGUCGGAAGUGGAGAUGGCCUUUAGGUGGUGGUGAGCAUAGGAUGGACCCUCUACCACAAGAAUACGAAGAAGUCCAUGGACACGCUUAUCCUGCAUACCUUCAAAGAGGACUUCUAUGGGGAAAUCCCCAAUGUGGCCAUUGUUGGCUACCUCAGACCAGAAAAGAACUUUGAUUCUUUAGACUCACUUAUUUCAGCAAUUCCAGGUGACAUUGAGGAGGCUAAGAAACGACUAGAUUUACCAGAACAUUUGAAACUCAAGACAAUUUCUUC
rnacentral:lncRNA from 1 species